CCUACGGGAGGCAGCAGUGAGGAAUUUUGGUCAAUGGCCGGGAGGCUGAACCAGCCAAGUCGCGUGAGGGAAGACGGCCCUACGGGUUGUAAAUUUCUUUUGUCAGGGAGCAAUUGGGUCCACGCGCGGGCUUAGCGAGAGUACCUGAAGAAAAAGCAUCGGCUAACUUCGUGCCAGCAGCCGCGGUAAUACGGAGGAUGCGAGCGUUAUCCGGAUUUAUUGGGUUUAAAGGUUGCGUAGGCGGAAUAUCAAGUCAGCGGUAAUAAUUCGGGGCUCAACUCCGUCGUGCCGUUGAAACUGAUGUUCUUGAGUGGGCGAGAAGUAUGCGGAAUGCGUGGUGUAGCGGUGAAAUGCAUAGAUAUCACGCAGAACUCCGAUUGCGAAGGCAGCAUACCGGCGCCCAACUGACGCUGAAGAACGAAAGCGUGGGUAUCGAACAGGAUUAGAUACCCGGGUAGUC
rnacentral:rRNA from 1 species